GCUAGAAAGGCGAGGCCGGCGGCUGACCGCUGAGCUGUGACCCUUCAGAUCUGGAUCUCGCCACCGGCUGGGACGUGAAGAGUCGGAGGCAGUUGUAGCAUUUGGAAACGAGUUCGUCCCCGAAGGGCGUAGGAGAAUUGUUUCCUCAGCUCGAAAUUUGGAAAAUCGCAGGCAUUUCUUAGGAGAUGCAGAUUUUAGAGACGGGAGUGUACUAGAGUGACAAAGCCAGAGUGAGAGACGCACACGACACCUGCAGUAGGGUCCUGACAGUGCUAUCCACCACCACCCUCCAAUCAGCCCGCAUCAUGGUAACCCGAGUGCCAGGCUUGGAAGAUUUCCACAGGAAUUGAUUCAACACAAUUGGAGAAAAACCCAGGAACCUAUGGCUUCGACAAGCACCCUAAGUAACUCUAGUCCAUGCA